AGUGAACGCUGGCGGUAGGCCUAACACAUGCAAGUCGAACGGCAGCACAGUAAGAUCUUGCUCUUACGGGUGGCGAGUGGCGGACGGGUGAGGAAUACAUCGGAAUCUACUUUUUCGUGGGGGAUAACGUAGGGAAACUUACGCUAAUACCGCAUACGACCUACGGGUUAAAGCAGGGGAUCUUCGGACCUUGCGCGAUUGAAUGAGCCGAUGUCGGAUUAGCUAGUUGGCGGGGUAAAGGCCCACCAAGGCGACGAUCCGUAGCUGGUCUGAGAGGAUGAUCAGCCACACUGGAACUGAGACACGGUCCAGACUCCUACGGGAGGCAGCAGUGGGGAAUAUUGGACAAUGGGCGAAAGCCUGAUCCAGCCAUACCGCGUGGGUGAAGAAGGCCUUCGGGUUGUAAAGCCCUUUUGUUGGGAAAGAAAAGCAGCAGGUUAAUACCCCGCUGUUCUGACGGUACCCAAAGAAUAAGCACCGGCUAACUUCGUG
rnacentral:rRNA from 1 species